rnacentral:rRNA from 1 species
GUCUAGUACUCAGAGUUUGAUCCUGGCUCAGGAUGAACGCUAGCUACAGGCUUAACACAUGCAAGUCGAGGGGCAGCAUGAACAUAGCUUGCUAUGUUUGAUGGCGACCGGCGCACGGGUGCGUAACACGUAUCCAAUCUGCCCGCUACUCGGGGAUAGCCUUCUGAAAGGAAGAUUAAUACCCGAUAGUAUUCAUUGGCGGCAUCGCUUUUGAAUUAAAGGAUUUAUCGGUAACGGAUGAGGAUGCGUACGAUUAGCUGGUUGGCGGGGUAACGGCCCACCAAGGCUACGAUCGUUAGGGGUUCUGAGAGGAAGGUCCCCCACACUGGAACUGAGACACGGUCCAG